rnacentral:rRNA from 1 species
AGGAUAAACGCUGGCGGCGUGCCUAACGCAUGCAAGUCGAACGAUGCCUUCGGGCAUAGUGGCGGACGGGUGAGUAACACGUAGGAACCUGCCCGGAAGUGGGGGACAACUCCGCGAAAGCGGGGCUAAUACCGCAUACGGUCUACGGACCAAAGCCUUCGGGCGCUUUCGGAGGGGCCUGCGGCGGAUUAGCUAGUUGGUGGGGUAACGGCCUACCAAGGCGACGAUCCGUAGCUGGUCUGAGAGGAUGAUCAGCCACACUGGGACUGAGACACGGCCCAGACUCCUACGGGAGGCAGCAGCGAGGAAUUUUCCGCAAUGGGCGAAAGCCUGACGGAGCAACGCCGCGUGGGGAAGAAGGCCUUCGGGUGUAAACCCUGUUGUGAGGGAAGAAGAUCUGACGGUACCUCGCGAGGAAGCCACGGCUAACUACGUGCCAGCAAGCCGC